rnacentral:rRNA from 1 species
ACGCUAGCUACAGGCUUAACACAUGCAAGUCGAGGGGCAGCAUGGUCUUAGCUUGCUAAGGCCGAUGGCGACCGGCGCACGGGUGAGUAACACGUAUCCAACCUGCCGUCUACUCUUGGACAGCCUUCUGAAAGGAAGAUUAAUACAAGAUGGCAUCAUGAGUCCGCAUGUUCACAUGAUUAAAGGUAUUCCGGUAGACGAUGGGGAUGCGUUCCAUUAGAUAGUAGGCGGGGUAACGGCCCACCUAGUCUUCGAUGGAUAGGGGUUCUGAGAGGAAGGUCCCCCACAUUGGAACUGAGACACGGUCCAAACUCCUACGGGAGGCAGCAGUGAGGAAUAUUGGUCAAUGGGCGAGAGCCUGAACCAGCCAAGUAGCGUGAAGGAUGACUGCCCUAUGGGUUGUAAACUUCUUUUAUAAAGGAAUAAAGUCGGGUAUGGAUACCCGUUUGCAUGUACUUUAUGAAUAAGGAUCGGCUAACUCCGUGCCAGCAGCCGCGGUAAUACGGAGGAUCCGAGCGUUAUCCGGAUUUAUUGGGUUUAAAGGGAGCGUAGAUGGAUGUUUAAGUCAGUUGUGAAAGUUUGCGGCUCAACCGUAAAAUUGCAGUUGAUACUGGAUAUCUUGAGUGCAGUUGAGGCAGGCGGAAUUCGUGGUGUAGCGGUGAAAUGCUUAGAUAUCACGAAGAACUCCGAUUGCGAAGGCAGCCUGCUAAGCUGCAACUGACAUUGAGGCUCGAAAGUGUGGGUAUCAAACAGGAUUAGAUACCCUGGUAGUCCACACGGUAAACGAUGAAUACUCGCUGUUUGCGAUAUACUGCAAGCGGCCAAGCGAAAGCGUUAAGUAUUCCACCUGGGGAGUACGCCGGCAACGGUGAAACUCAAAGGAAUUGACGGGGGCCCGCACAAGCGGAGGAACAUGUGGUUUAAUUCGAUGAUACGCGAGGAACCUUACCCGGGCUUAAAUUGCAGAUGAAUUACGGUGAAAGCCGUAAGCCGCAAGGCAUCUGUGAAGGUGCUGCAUGGUUGUCGUCAGCUCGUGCCGUGAGGUGUCGGCUUAAGUGCCAUAACGAGCGCAACCCUUGUUGUCAGUUACUAACAGGUUCCGCUGAGGACUCUGACAAGACUGCCAUCGUAAGAUGCGAGGAAGGUGGGGAUGACGUCAAAUCAGCACGGCCCUUACGUCCGGGGCUACACACGUGUUACAAUGGGGGGUACAGAGGGCCGCUACCACGCGAGUGGAUGCCAAUCCCCAAAACCUCUCUCAGUUCGGACUGGAGUCUGCAACCCGACUCCACGAAGCUGGAUUCGCUAGUAAUCGCGCAUCAGCCACGGCGCGGUGAAUACGUUCCCGGGCCUUGUACACACCGCCCGUCAAGCCAUGGGAGCCGGGGGUACCUGAAGUGCGUAACCGCGAGGAGCGCCCUAGGGUAAAACUGGUGACUGGGG